UCGUGAUCCACGCGCCUCGGCCUCCCGAAGUGCUGAGAUUACAGGCGUCAGCCACCAAGCCUGGCCCUGCCCUUUUCUUUAAUACUCAAACAAUAGUCAAAAUAUAUUUGAAACCCCAUCCCAAAUAUAUUGGGAAUCCUGGGAUUUUCUACUAACUCCAAGGAUACUUAGCGGACUCCUAGCGGACUUAUCUUUCCCCUGGUUACCUUUGCUGAAUUUCCUACUUGCGUUGAAUUCUCCAUCUCCACUCCUGGGCUCCUCAAAUUGUCCAUCCCCCUUCACUCUGCCCUGAACACUGCCUCGGAGUCCUUCAUUCUCCAAAGCAUCACUGAUAAGAAGCUGAGGCGUGCAGCAAACCUUUACUGAGGCCGUGGGGUCGUGGUAGCGGCUACGCAGAGGAAGGUGCAGAGGAAGGACUGCAGGCGCUGAAACUCCUCUGGCUUCUUCCUACCCUUUCUCUCUCGCUGCUCUCAGGCCCUGCCCAGGUUAUGGUUUGUUGUGUUGUGAUGUGUUGCUGAUGUUUUUAUUUUCCCACUUGCAUCCUCCUGCUAGUGUCAAAUCUUGGAGAAUGUGCCCACUUCCCUUUCAAGACACUUGAUCCCAUCACCCGUACCAUCUCCUCUUCAGGGAUCUUACUUGUCCAGUGAACACUGUGUUGUUAUUAAUCAAUCUUCCUGCAGCACUUGACACCACUGACCACUUCCUGCCUCAGAGGCAUUACCCUUUCCUAUAUUCUUUCUGUUUCCAUCAUAGCCUCCUCUCCUGUGUACACAAUGAUUUCUAAAUUUGUGUCUUCAGCCUGAACCUGUCCUGCAAAGUUCAGGCUCCAGCUGCUUCCUGGACAUGAAGAGUUCCUGGGUAUCCCACUGGUGCUUCCUACUCAUUAUGUCCAAAGUCAAACUUGGCAAACGUGCUGUGCCUGCACUAUGUGCAAUUAACUGGCCAGUUUUACACACCAAGAAGCAUGUAAAGGCCUUCUCAGAGUUGGCAGGAUCCUCUAAGAGAGUAUUUCCAUUUGUUUAGGACCAAGACCUCCCCUUUGAGUGAUGUGAGACUCACUAAUGCAAAGCCAUCUUUAAUGAGCCACAACCCUUGACUCCCAGGAAACCUAGCAGGUUUGGGAAUUAUGAAGAAGGUCUGCUAUAAACAUGCAUGUGCAUUUGGGUGGACAUAAGUCUUCAACUCAUUGGGUAAAGGCCAAGGAACACAAUUGCUGGAUCAUAAGUAUGGGGUGAGGGGAAACUGAGUCCCAGGGUAGGCUCCAGAGUGAAGAGGGAAGAAACAUGAUUCUCAAGGCCCAGGUCUGGACAAGUGUGAACACCUUGGGCCUGCGAAUUCAGCCCUCCUUCCUUUCUCUGGUCAAAGGCUAGACUUGCAGCAGCUUGGGUUUGAAGGGACAGCCCAGAAGGCACCCUCUCCACUCCCCAUACAGGUACUUCUGGUCUGUGGGACUGGCACAGGGUUCUUCUCCCAAAGCUGCCAGCACUGUGAGGCUGAGGCAGUGCCAGGCCGGCGGCAGCGACAGUGGUGCAAUCGUUCUGGGAAGCGAUCGAGGCCGGCCUGAAUUCUCUGUGGCAGGGGAGGGGAGCCAAUCGGGAGGCCCCUUGGGGACACCGAGGACCAGGUCCGCUACUGCUCCUCCCCCAGGAGGUCCCCCAGAUGCUACAUUGGCUGGCAGGGGCUCAACAGGGGUGAGCCUGGCUGGCUUCGACCCGGGGCGACUCCGGGCAUCCGGGACAGCUUCUCCUCGCUGCCACCUCGGUCAGUCAGACCCCUAGACACCUGUCACUACCCCCUCAGCCUUCCCAAGCCAGGAGCCUGGGAGUCCGGCUCCGGCCUACCUCCGGCUGCGCUCCUGGGCGCAGCUCCCGGGC